GCCCUGGUGGUCUAGCGGUAUGAUUCUUCCUUAGGGCUGUUCCCCAACAACAACUCGCAUGGAAGAGGUCCCAGGUUCGAUCCCUGGCCAGGGCC
rnacentral:tRNA from 1 species